GGAAGUGGUAAAGGGACGGAGGGGAAGCCCUGAGAGGACUGAGAGGAUGGGAAAUUCUCUGCUGAGAGAAAACAGGCGGCAGCAGAACACUCAAGAGAUGCCUUGGAAUGUGAGAAUGCAAAGCCCCAAACAGAGAACAUCCAGAUGCUGGGAUCACCAUAUCGCUGAAGGGUGUUUCUGCCUUCCAUGGAAAAAAAUACUCAUUUUUGAAAAGAGGCAAGAUUCCCAAAACGAAAAUGAAAGAAUGUCAUCUACUCCCAUCCAGCAGGACAAUGUUGACCAGACCUACUCAGAGGAGCUGUGCUAUACCCUCAUCAAUCAUCGGGUUCUCUGUACAAGGCCAUCAGGGAACUCUGCUGAAGAGUACUAUGAGAAUGUUCCCUGCAAAGCUGAGAGACCCAGAGAGUCCUUGGGAGGAACUGAGACUGAGUAUU
rnacentral:lncRNA from 1 species